UCCUGCCAGUCAUAUAUGCUUGUCUUAAAGAUUAAGCCAUGCAUGUCUAAGUAUAAGCACUUGUACGGUGAAACUGCGAAUGGCUCAUUAUAUCAGUUAUAGUUUACUCAACACUCACUUCUACAUGGAUAACCGUGGGAAACCAGAGCUAAUACAUGCGUCGAUGGGCAGCAAUGCCCAGUAUUUAUUAGGUACAAACCAACACUCGUUGCGUUGAUUCACAGUAACUGCACGGAUCGCACGGCCCAGUGCCGGCGACAGGUUGACCAAAAUUUCUGCCCUAUCAACUAUGGAUGGUAGGAUCGAGGCCUACCAUGGUGAUCACGGGUAACGGAGAAUAAGGGUUCGAUUCCGGAGAGGGAGCCUGAGAAAACGGCUACCACAUCCAAGGAUGGCAGCAGGCGCGCAAAAUUACCCAAUCCUGACACAGGGAGGUAGUGACAAGAAAUAACAAUGCGCGGCACUCUGUGCUGUGCAAUUGG
rnacentral:rRNA from 1 species